GCAAGGUAAAAUCAAGGAANGGACGGGGGCCCGCACAAGCGGCGGAGCAUUGGAUUAAUUCGAUGCAACGCGAAGACCUUACUGGGCUNGACAUGGACUAGAAUCUUNAGAGAUGGGGGUCCCUUGUGGCUGGUUCACAGUGGNGCAUGGCUGUCGUCAGCUCGUGUCGUGAGAUGUUGGGUUAAGUCCCGCAACGAGCGCAACCCUCGUUCCAUGUUGCCAGCGCGUAAUGGCGGGGACUCAUGGGAGACUGCCGGGGUCAACUCGGAGGAAGGUGGGGAUGACGUCAAGUCAUCAUGCCCCUUAUGUCCAGGGCUUCACACAUGCUACAAUGGCCGGUACAAAGGGCUGCUAAACCGUGAGGUGGAGCGAAUCCCAUAAAGCCGGUCUCAGUUCGGAUCGGGGUCUGCAACUCGACCCCGUGAAGUCGGAGUCGCUAGUAAUCGCAGAUCAGCAACGCUGCGGUGAAUACGUUCCCGGGCCUUGUACACACCGCCCGUCACGUCACGAAAGUCGGUAACACCCGAAGCCCGUGGCCCAACUCUU
rnacentral:rRNA from 1 species